rnacentral:rRNA from 1 species
UUCCGGUUGAUCCUGCCGGCAGUGACCGCUAUUGGAGUCCGAUUAAGACAUGCGAGUCGAGAGCUUUCGGAGCUCGGCAUACUGCUCAGUAACACGUGGGUAACCUGCCCUAUGCUGGGGGAUAACCUCGGGAAACUGAGAACAAUACCCCAUAGUCCACUACGCCUGGAACGGUGAGUGGAUGAAAGCCCCGGCGGCAUAGGAUGGGCCUGCGGCGUAUCAGGUUGUAGGGGGUGUAAUGUACCCUCUAGCCUUCGACGCGUACGGGUUGUGAGAGCAAUAGCCCGGAGAUGGAUUCUGAGACAAGAAUCCAGGUCCCACGGGACGCAGCAGUCGCGAAACCUUGACAAUGCGGGAAACCGUGAUCAGGGGACUCCAAGUGCCAGGAGUAAGAUCCUGUGCUUUUCAUCUCUCUUCAAAGGAUUUGGAAUAAGAGGUGGGUAAGGACGGUGCCAGCCGCCGCGGUAAUACCGGCGCCUCAAGUGGUAGUCGAUUUUAUUGGGCCUAAAACGUCCGUCGCCGGUCUGGUGCAUUCGUGGGUAAAUCAACCCGCUCAACGGGUUGAAUUCUGCGAGCACGGCCAGACUAGGGACCGGGAGAGGUGUAGGGUACGCUCGGGGUAGGGGUAAAAUCCUGUCAUCCCGAGCGGACCACCUGUUGCGAAGGCGCUACACUAGAACGGAUCCGACGGUCAGGGACGAAGCCUAGGGGCACGAACCGGAUUAGAUACCCGGGUAGUCCUAGGUGUAAACGCUGUGGACUUGGUGUUGGAAGCUUCCCAGAGGGCUUUCAGUGCCGUAGCGAAGGUGAUAAGUCCACUGCCUGGGGAGUACGGUCGCAAGGCUGAAACUUAAAGGAAUUGGCGGGGGAACACCGCAACCUGAGGAUUGGGCGG